AGUGAACGCUGGCGGUAGGCCUAACACAUGCAAGUCGAACGGCAGCACAGUAAGAGCUUGCUCUUACGGGUGGCGAGUGGCGGACGGGUGAGGAAUACAUCGGGAUCUACUUUUUCGUGGGGGAUAACGUAGGGAAACUUACGCUAAUACCGCAUACGACCUACGGGUGGAAGCAGGGGAUCUUCGGACCUUGCGCGAUUGAAUGAGCCGAUGUCGGAUUAGCUAGUUGGCGGGGCAAAGGCCCACCAAGGCGACGAUCCGUAGCUGGUCUGAGAGGAUGAUCAGCCACACUGGAACUGAGACACGGUCCAGACUCCUACGGGAGGCAGCAGUGGGGAAUAUUGGACAAUGGGCGCAAGCCUGAUCCAGCCAUACCGCGUGGGUGAAGAAGGCCUUCGGGUUGUAAAGCCCUUUUGUUGGGAAAGAAAAGCAGCAGGUUAAUACCCCGCUGUUCUGACGGUACCCAAAGAAUAAGCACCGGCUAACUUCGUG
rnacentral:rRNA from 1 species